GGGAUUGCCUCAGUAACGGCGAGUGAAGCGGCAACAGCUCAAAUUUGAAAUCUGGCUCCUUCGGGGUCCGAGUUGUAAUUUGUAGAGAGUGUUUCGGGUGAGGACACGGUCUAAGUCCAUUGGAACAUGGCGUCAUAGAGGGUGAGAAUCCCGUAUGUGACCGUGGAUCGAGCCCAUGUGAAGCCUCUUCGACGAGUCGAGUUGUUUGGGAAUGCAGCUCAAAAUGGGUGGUAAAUUUCAUCUAAAGCUAAAUACUGGCUGGAGACCGAUAGCGCACAAGUAGAGUGAUCGAAAGAUGAAAAGCACUUUGGAAAGAGAGUGAAACAGUACGUGAAAUUGUUGAAAGGGAAGCGCUUGCAACCAGACCUGUCCGUAGGCGAUCAGCCGCUGUUCUCAGUGGUGCACUCGCUCUGCGAUCAGGCCAGCAUCGGUUUCGGCGGUCGGAUAAAGGCCUUGGGAAUGUAGCUUCCUUUCGGGGGAGUCUUAUAGCCCUUGGUGCAAUGCGGCCAGCCGGGACCGAGGACCGCGCUUCGGCUAGGAUGCUGGCGUAAUGGUUGUCAGCGACCCGUCUUGAAACACGGACCAAGGAGUCUAACAUCUAUGCGAGUGUUUGGGUGUUAAACCCAUGCGCGGAAUGAAAGUGAACGGAGGUGAGAACCCUGAAGGGCGCAUCAUCGACCGAUCCAGAUGUCUUCGGAUGGAUUUGAGUAUGAGCAUAGCUGUUGGGACCCGAAAGGUACGUUAAACCCUCUCCCUUUAGAUAGAAUUCUUAGCUAACUUAUUUCAAAGAUGGUGAACUAUGCCUGAAUAGGGUGAAGCCAGAGGAAACUCUGGUGGAGGCUCGCAGCGGUUCUGACGUGCAAAUCGAUCGUCAAAUUUGGGUAUAGGGGCGAAAGACUAAUCG
rnacentral:rRNA from 1 species